AAGUCGUAACAAGGUAACCGUAGGUGAACCUGCGGUUGGAUCAUUAAUUUAAAAACUUUUUUUUACUUUUGGUUGUCCUUUUUACUUCAAAAUGUUUUUGAAGUUUUUAGGCAACUAAAAAAAACCCCUUUUAUAACUUUGUUUCGAAAGAGACAAAUGAAAUUUUGUGGUAUUUUUAACUUACGUUAUAUAUUCUAAUCUUGAAUUCUCUUAAGUGAGGAUUCAAGUUUAGGAUUGUUUAUCAAACAUUUUUUUUUUAUGAAUCAAUUUUUUUUUUACAAGAUUUAUAUAUAAUCAAAUAACAACUUUUGACAAUGGAUCUCUUGGCUCUC
rnacentral:misc_RNA from 1 species